AAAAAACUGCCCACUCUGUUGUUUUAAAAGCAUUGAAUUCUUUGGAAUAAUUUUGCAGUCAUCAUCAUUAUGUCAACCAAGUGAUCAUCUAAAUAUUUUCCAGCUAAACAUUUUGGAAAUAUGCGCAACAGAUUUUGGACAUUUUAAACGGUUAAGAAAAGGAUAAUGUUCAUUUAAAUUGACACAGGAGAAAGAAUAUUUAUCUUUACCAUGUUUUUUUAUUACAAUGAAAAUAAGAAUAUAUUGUAUUUAACUUGUACAGAUAGUCUUACAGCGUUUCAUAACUUAUUACACACGAUUCAGAAAUACAUGUGUUAAUGUUAAAAAAUACUUAAAAUGUAAGUUAUUUCUCAAUGAGUUAACUUUGUUGUUGCUAUGCUUGCAUGCUUAAAUUUGUAUUGAAAUGCAUGCAGUCUGAAUUUUAUGAAUUGUGAAAUGAAAAGUACAUUGCCAUGAUUUACCUUUGUCUUUAUUACAUUGUUUGUUAAAUGACUAUUUCAAACACAAACAUAUUAAAAUUAAUAUUAUUGUUUCAUACCAUAAAUAAAAAAUGUUGAU
rnacentral:misc_RNA from 1 species